ACACGGGGAAACUAUUUUAAUCCUGUUGUUUUCAGACACUAGUACCCUGGGUGCUGGUGACAUCUUCCUCUGGCCUCUCCUUGUCUCCAUAGUCUUUGUGGUCUCCAAUGAAAGAAUUCCAAAGAGACAUACUGAGUAAGGUAUAGAACAUGAUCUUGGAGAAGGAGGCAGAUUGAAAGAUUUUCCUUGUGAAAGGGUAUAUCUAUGCAAAUAUAAACAAUUACAUAAGAAUAUUUAAGAGUAUUUAAGAGUAUCUGAAAUCAUGCAUCCAUUAUGGAGUCUCAUGAUGCUAUCAAGUGGCUGUGUAUGUUUGUGUUUAUGUAUAUGUGUGUAUCGGGGUGUGUGUGUAUGUGUGUGUGUGUGUGUGUGUGUGUGUGUGUGUGUGUGUGUGUACAAUCAUAUUGUAAAAUAUAGGAAAGGAAGUAUUGAGGGGCAGAUGAGGGAGACCAAUUGGCUAGUGGCAACUAUACCUGACUCAUCUCCACUUCCCAUCAGGACUUGGUUUCUUUACCACCUCUCAACACUCACACUCUCUGCUUGGGCAAGAAUCCAGGUACUUCCAGGACUGGGGAAAUCCUUUCAUCGUGUUUUUUUCUUAGGCAGACUUCAGGGUGGGGCUUGGGAGAGAGGAAGGAAUGAGGCGGAGGAGUGAGGGGGUUCUCCGAAUGCGGCAGCAUUUGGCAGGGGCGGAGAGUGGUUUGUGUCAAAGAGGGGUACAGAUAAAAUUCUGGGGAUUCUGAAGGAAAGGCGACCGUAAGGACCACCAGGAAAGAUGUUCCAGAGAAGGUGACCUAGAAACUGGGCCUGAAAGAGUAUGUAGGAUUUCUUUAUUUUUACUUUUUGGUAGGCGUGGGUGGAAGAACUUUCCUUCGGAAAAACAAACAAACAAACAAGCAAACACCCUGUUCAAACAGGCACUGCACCACAAAAUGUGUGUCUGAAGACAGGAGCAUGCUUUCUCUCAUCCACCGCUCUUUAGAUCCAGAGGUUAACAGCACCAUGAACUCUUGCUAUGUUCUGGCUGGUGGCCUGCCCACUGGCCACCCACCCUCCCUCCCUCUCCUUUCUGCCUCCUUUCAUUUCCAUCAUCUCUAUGGUUACUUUACUCCCCCACUUUCAUUAUACUGUGUCCUUGAUCUUGUUUUAUUAAGUGCUGAGAGCGACAUUCUCCUCCUCAGGCUGGCUGCCUUGUGACCAGGAUGGACGUUGUGUUGGUGACUUCAAAAGCUAGGUCAUGAAAUGUCAAGAAGCCUCCUUCCAGAACCAUCGGGACCCUCACCUUUGGAGGCUCAGCCACCAUGUGGGGAUAUUGGGAUCCAGGCUGGGGUGAAGGCCAGCAAUACCACCCGGAAAUGUGAAUGAAAGAUGCUCCUGAACUGAGUCUCCCUAGGUUGUCAAUCCUUUCUACAGCCACCUUAGGUGUCACUGAGCAGAGCAGGUCAACACCACUGCAUCCUUUUCAAAAUCUUGGCACAAAGCAGUCGAGCAUAAUGAAUUGGUUUAUCAAGCUAAACCCAGACAAUUGGUGCAUACAUCUGCGGCAACCAUCACAGCCAGCGGCCUCAAAUGACCGUGCCUGGACAAAAGAGCAGUGGCCACAGUCCAUAUCUCUCUUCAGGAAAAUGUGAGUGAUGGGCCUAGUACACGGGCCAGGCUUCGUUUCUCAAAAGUAUGGUCCACCAACUAUGAAUGGCUGAUUGGUGGGGAGACAGGCUAAGAUGAUCACACUUCAUCAUGACCAUUUUUAUAGGUUAAUCUCAUAGAAGAGUUGCCACACACUCUCUAAUAAGGAGCUACAGAAACAGAGUGGCUGUGUGGACCAGAGUCUGUUCCAUUCUUGCCAGCUGGAGCAGCACUGGACAAAUGGGAGCGUGAGGCCGGAACCCCACAGACUGAACGCCAGGCUGCUGUAGAAAUGGACCAGUGUUGGGUGCCUGCCUGACCGUGGUGCUGAACAUGUGACUGGAACAAAAUGGGAAAUGGCGUCAGAAAAUUUGAUCUUCUGUUUCAUUUCCUCCUUUGGCACCCCUCCUUCCUUGACGCUGGGCUCCAUGACUGGCAUGAUCCUGGGUCGCCAUCCAGCCUCUCCAAGCAUCUGUCUUGCAGAUGGCAGAUGGGGACAUUCUUAGUCCUCUAUGGAUCAUGAUGGACAUGCCAAGGAUGGUCAAUAAGGACCUCCAGUGCCCUUGCCUGGGGUUCUUGAGUGCCCAUCAAGGCUGAGUUUUCCAUCCAUCCUGCCAUUCAAACUCCUCCUGGGCACACAGUCUACUCUGAUCUCUCCACUGCUACUCCCCUCCUGUUUCCAUGGGAAAUUUCCACUGCCCAGUGUGUUGAGACCUGAAAUAGUGACACAGAAAUUGGGCACGGAGGGUCUGUCUUCAUACUGAUGUGUUUGAGGCUCUGAGCACUAGGUGGGAGCCAAGGAGAAGCAAGAUUGGAGACAGAGUUGAAAGAUGGUGCAUGUAGACCUCUUCCAAAUCCUCCAGAAGUCAAACAGUCCCAAAGCCUCUGGACUCAUUUGUGUGACCUUGAAACCAUCUAUCUGAGAAGAGAACAGGAAGUAGAGGACGCCAUGGCAACAGAUAACCGAAGCCAGCAUGGAAUGGAGCUAAUGGGCAGGGCUGCUCUCAGUGAAUACUUCCCAGUAAGCCCACAAAUGGUCGGUCACCAUCUGUCCUGAUUGGCUGAUGUCAAUGUUCUCCUACUCAUUGAACUGACAAUCUUGGUCUGAUAUCUGUUGCCCACUGCUCGAUGCCAGAAAGUUUCAUAGACUUCUUCUCCCGACUUGGCUCACCAUAGAGAGGAGAAAUAUCGAAUCCAAGAGUCAAAUCAAAACCAAGCCAACUAAGAAAACAAGAAGAGAGGCCAAAAAGAAAGGGGAAGGAAUUAAAAGAGUAAAAAGCAAAGGAAAAAGAGAGGUGAGAGAUGAAAUCCUGAGUGACUGUGUUAUUGCCGCGAGCAUGGCCAUAGAAUGGCAAGGCUUUCUCCUGAGCCAGGCUCAGAGGAAUAGCAAGACUUCUUCUGGUCAGAGGUCUGCCAUUGACAGUGUGUGAACAAAGUAUCCACAUCAGUUUCCUUCUCCAGGAUGACUGCAACCUGUUGCUGAGUUCCUACGGAGACCUCCUACUGAAAUGAGUUAACCAGCCUCAAAACGGCCUCACUCCUGCCUUAUAGAAUAAGCACACUGAAUUUCUAGGCUGCUCUUGGUGCAUCUCCAUGGAGCACACAGGUCACCUCAUCACAGCUUUUGGUGUACCUGUCUGUCAUUUCCUCAUUCCCUUUUGCCCCAGUUAGGUCAAGUACAGAUCAUGGCACACACGGGUUGAUGUCUCUGUUUUAACACAGAGUCAGUAAAAGGAGCUAAAAUAUUCUUCUAGAAAAGGAAUCCUUCAACAUGUCCACAGACACAAUUUCAGAAGUUUUAAAGAUAAAUAUUGUUCAAAUUUAAAAGCAAUAGGCAGAUUUAAAGGGAUUUACAUGCCCCUUAAAAAUGUUUCCUUUGCCUGGAUGGGGUAGGAUUAGGACACUGGAAGUCUCUGAUUAGGGAUCUAGAGAGAUGAACAAUUGGCCUAGAGAUGGGCAUGCUGUAGUUUAUACCUUGAUGUCACCCAAAGACCCAUGUUCGGGCCUUUUUAAAAGCUUGGCAUAGCCCAGAAUGCCAGUAGGUGGUGGAAACUUUAGGAAGUAAGGCCCUGGGGCAGAGAAAAUAAUAUGUAUUAUUAUAUAUAAAUAUGUAAAUGACUGCCCUGUCUAUAUAGACAGUUUUGUUAAAAAGAUAAUAACCAUAGAUUUGUGUGGUCCAGUCAUUUGUCAGUACGAUCCAGGAUGACAAGAGGUGAUGCUUACACAUCAGCUUAUUAUUUAGUCAGUGCUUGAGAAAAUUCUGUGUCAUCUCCAGGCACCAUAGCUUUCUAUGCAGGCUCAAGAACAGCUUCUCUUUCCAGACACAAAUGGGGCAUCUACCACACAUCCCUCUUCCAAAGUCUCAGGGAACAUUGCAGAAGAGGUGGGAACAGUGUGAGAGUGUUGCACACUCUCUGAGAGGGGUGUGGAAAGUUGACUUCCAGGCAGGACAUGACUACUGCCUUCUCUUACUCAAAGGAGUUGUGAUUACCUGCGGAAGACCGGAUCUGUCAACAACUCAUCAUGGGGGGAGGAGGAGCUCACGAGUCCCCAUCCCUCUAUGAGGAUGUAUGAUGCAGAGAGAAGAGACAUUUUCUUUAGUGGUGGUAAGGCACACAUGCUCCUGUGAUCAAACUCCCACCCACAGUCCCUUAAACAACCCUAAUGGAACACACACACACACACACACACACACACACACACACACACACACACACGGAGACAUGAAUGAAAGUCCAAAGGGUGGUUGGGAAGAGGAAGGGCAUCACUGCAGGUAAGAGGGAAACAAGAAAGGGUGAAUCUGAUCAAAAUCCAUUCCAUACACAUACGAAAACCUCACAACGAAGCCCCAUCGUUAUGUAUUAACACAUGCUAAGGAAAACCUUUAAGAAGGAUGACGUCUCUGUGUUCUUCGGUGUCGAAUGUGCUGAGGAACAUCUUCCACGAAGGAGAGGUGAAAUUGCACAAUCACUCAUGGUGUAGCUCUCAGCGCUUUGUAUGUGUGUUGAAUCUCUCUUCAGAUCCCCGACAACUACUCAUUUAGUCUGGUUGUGUCAUAGCUCAUAGCACCCAGUCCUCCAUGGUGCUGGCCCGGAACAGUGACCUCCAAGAACUUUAUUAUUGAUUGUCAUUUGGCUGCUCUGUUAAUGAUCAUGAAUGCACCUGUGCAGAAAAAAUGCAAAGGCAAAUUCAUUUCCUGCCCAUGUUGAGCUCACUAUCAACAUUUGAACUAUGAACUAUGAAUGUGUAAUAAUGUGUGUUUUCAACUACAUCUUCUCUGGGAUACUUUGGGUUAUAUCACUGCAUUCCUAGAGAUCUCUUUCAAUGUUGACCAUAGGAGAGGAUCCUCAGAGCCCAUCAAGAAGAGUUUUCACAUUGCCGUGAAAAGACCAGUCUGGAAAAAUGAUGAGGGGACAUGCAUUGUAAAGAUCCAUGGCCAUGCGCACUGUGGAGCAAGUCUUCAAACACCUUAGAGUUGGAGGCCACUCCUGACCACCUAAUGUGACAAGGAGCCUGUCAUAGGUGGGGAUGGUGGAAGAGUGGAUCAGAUUAAGAGCAGCAAUGGGAGAGGGAGGGAGGGAGGGAG